rnacentral:misc_RNA from 1 species
GAAGCCUCUCAACCCGACCUUAUCAAAGGUGGCUUGGAAAUGGGGGAUCGUUGCAGGCUUUCGAGUCUGCUCCCCUGAAACGAAUCAGUGGUGUCUGGGCUGACUGCCACAGGUGUGAUAACUAUCAGUGCCUUGGUGGAAACCUUCGCCGCUUCCAACUCUCUGAUGACCCA